AUCGGAACAUGUCCUGUAGUGGGGGAUAGCCCGGCGAAAGCCGGAUUAAUACCGCAUACGAUCUGAGGAUGAAAGCGGGGGACCUUCGGGCCUCGCGCUAUAGGGUUGGCCGAUGGCUGAUUAGCUAGUUGGUGGGGUAAAGGCCUACCAAGGCGACGAUCAGUAGCUGGUCUGAGAGGACGACCAGCCACACUGGGACUGAGACACGGCCCAGACUCCUACGGGAGGCAGCAGUGGGGAAUUUUGGACAAUGGGCGAAAGCCUGAUCCAGCAAUGCCGCGUGUGUGAAGAAGGCCUUCGGGUUGUAAAGCACUUUUGUCCGGAAAGAAAUCCUUGGUUCUAAUAUAGCCGGGGGAUGACGGUACCGGAAGAAUAAGCACCGGCUAACUACGUGCCAGCAGCCGCGGUAAUACGUAGGGUGCAAGCGUUAAUCGGAAUUACUGGGCGUAAAGCGUGCGCAGGCGGUUUGCUAAGACCGAUGUGAAAUCCCCGGGCUCAACCUGGGAACUGCAUUGGUGACUGGCANGCUAGAGUAUGGCAGANGGGGGUAGAAUUCCACGUGUAGCAGUGAAAUGCGUAGAGAUGUGGAGGAAUACCGAUGG
rnacentral:rRNA from 1 species